CGGCCAGUAAGAGUAUCUAAGGUAGAUAUGGAAUCAGAGGAGACAAUUUCAUAAGGCAACCCUUUGUAGAUACAAGUAUAAUAAAAAUACAUUAACUAAGAUCUGAAGAUCACUGAUGUUGGUAUGGAACAUUCAGGAGCACAGGUUUUGAUGCUUUCAUAACCAAAGAACGUUUAUGAGCUCACACUCUCUUAAGGACUUUAGCAGACUU